CUGCCUCCAGCAGCUCUCGGCCACGCGACCGUGCGGUCAGCGGCGCUUGGAGGGCGGCCGGAGCUGGGCCUGAGCCUGGAGACUCGCCUGAUCCCGGGCGGCCGAACCACCAUCACCACAACCGCCCCACCCCCGCCGUCGCCUCGUGGGGCCCCGGCCCCCUCCCGGGUCCGAUGCACUCCAGGGUGGGCCAGGAGAAAAGAGAAAAGACAGCUUGGUGAUGACUAAGAAGCCUUCUCUCCUCAGACAUGGUGGGAUGUACUCUGAUCUAGAGCAGGCAGCUGGCCAGAGGCCCACAGGGAGCUCAGUGAUUGGCCUCAGAUGACCUUGGGGACAAAGAUUGUCCUGUGAAGGGAAGUGAUGGCACAGGCUCUGAUCAGCUCUUCUGGGAACAGACAGAGAAGUGAGAAUUCCUGCCAAAGCCACAGGAUGAACACAGAGCCAAGAACCUGAACCAGAAAAAUCCAGCAGGAAAGGAACCUGCACUAGCCACCAUCCUGAGGCUGCUGUACAGGGAGCAAUCCUACCGCAGGGACUUGGCAGGAGACCAGGGGCCUGCUCCCCAGUCCUCCUCGAGGGCCUCUGUCACCGACCUGCUUGUCUAGGAUCUCCUUUCUUUCUGCUUGUGCCACAUCUUUCAGGCCUGUUCUGGGUCUGAUGUGCUAUAGAACACUCUGUUCAGGCACUUGGGAAAUAGAGACUUCAUCACCAGCAUUUCCACCCCCAAAGAACUAGGCAGCACACUGGGAAGUUGCCAAAGGAAGGGACUCCAGCCUCCCAGGAGUUAACAACAUUUCUCCCCAGCUAUCCUCCCCUUGGUGCUCCUCUUCCUCCCUCCUCCUGCUCACAGCAGGCAGGGCCUGGAACCAGGAGCCAUGCUGCUGUGCUGUUGCCAGGGGAGCUGGGAGGCAGAUCGGAGCUAUGCAGGGAAAAGGCUCGGCCUGUCAGAGUGUCUGAGAUGAACCACCGCCAUCCCUGUGCAGCUGGGCUCCAUGUGUCUCAGGGCUCUUGUUCUGUGCCUGAGAACGGUGAAGCCCAGCGAGGUUCAAGGGCACACUCGCUAUUCAUCAGUCGGGGGUUCUUGACGGUCCUGCCUCUCCCAGGGAUGGGUUCCCCCCUUCCUCUUUCUCUCCCUCCUAUGAUACAUUCCUGGGUGCCUGUGGUGAGGACUGCACACCCCCUUCUCCACAGCCCCCCCAAACCCUGAAUCAACUCCUAUUAAGGAGGCCAGGCGAGACAGGGACAAUGGCUUCAAGAAAUCAUUCAGGCGGGACCUCAGUCACAUUCGCAUGCCCGUCACUCCCAGAGCCCCUGUAGAUCCCACUCUGCUGUGAUUCAGGGACCCUUGGGCCCCCAGCUUGCACAUGCCUAGACAGGAGCAGGCCACUAGGUGCUGCCCUACACAACAGGCCAGUGCAGUGUUUGUUCUCAGGGACCCUGGGGCCUCCAUCCCACUGGCUGGAUAGUGUGUGCAGUCAGUUGGAGAGCAGAAACUACAAUAUUUUCUGAAAUGUGGUAAUAUCAAGAUAUAAGAGGCACAUAUACGUGAUGACUAAUUUCACUUCAGAUAUACUGGAAAAGUUUGCUAAGAACAUGGACAAAGACCUGUGGUUGAGUAACGAGUCAUUUCAUUCCAUGGAAUAUUACACACCUGUAAGACUGUGGUAGAUCUACCUCUGCAUGCAGGCUGAUAGGGAAGGUUGCUAAUAUACUUAAGUGAAUAGAAUAAAGUACAAAACAGUCAA
rnacentral:lncRNA from 1 species